UACGGGGGGAGCAAGCGUUGUUCGGAUUACUGGCGUAAAGGGCGCGUAGGCGGUCAGCACAAGUCAGUUGUGAAAUCUCCGGGCUUAACCCGGAAAGGUCAACUGAUACUGUGCGACUAGAGUGCGGAAGGGGCAACUGGAAUUCUCGGUGUAGCGGUGAAAUGCGUAGAUAUCGAGAGGAACACCUGCGGCGAAGGCGGGUUGCUGGGCCGACACUGACGCUGAUGCGCGAAAGCCAGGGGAGCGAACGGG
rnacentral:rRNA from 1 species